UACGUAGGGGGCUAGCGUUGUCCGGAAUCAUUGGGCGUAAAGCGCGUGUAGGCGGUCCGGUAAGUCCGCUGUGAAAGUCGGGGGCUCAACCCUCGAAUGCCGGUGGAUACUGUCGGGCUAGAGUGCGGAAGAGGCGAGUGGAAUUCCUGGUGUAGCGGUGAAAUGCGUAGAUAUCGUAAGGAAGACCAGUGGCGAAGGCGAAUCUCUGGACAGUUACUGACACUGAGGCACGAAGGCCAGGGGAGCAAACGGG
rnacentral:rRNA from 1 species